GUUUUUAUUUGAUAUAUUUAUGCUAAUUAUUUAGUUGUGCAUCUUACUUUUUUUAUUUUUGUCUUUGAAUAUCUACUCAUUUCAUGAACAUUGAAAAUUUUUCAAAAACAUCAUGUAGUGAUAGGUUGUGACCGUAAUGUUACGAUCAUUAUAGGCUUGUUUUUGUCACCCAUAACCGCAAUUUAAAUUCAUGCUACUAUGAAAAAACUAUCAAUACAUCAACAAACUUAAGAUCUAGUUGCCUUAGUUUACAACAAGAAUAAAUUUAUUAAAAUAUGUGAAAUGUUUCAAUAAAUUGCCCAAAACAAUCCUAUAGUUAAAUAGAAGGAAAGAUCUCCUUUGAUAUUGUCAUUAAAAGUUUAUCAAAUUGAAUGGCUAAAAUGAAAGAGACAAGGGGAAAUAAGAUCAUUACCUUGGGCACAAAAACAUUGCCGG
rnacentral:misc_RNA from 1 species